rnacentral:tRNA from 1 species
UCCCUGGUGGCUCAGUGGUAAAGAAUCUGCCUGAAAUGCAGGAGAUGUGGGUUUGACUCCUGUGUUGGGAU